rnacentral:lncRNA from 1 species
UUCAUUGUACUAAUGAACUCAAAAUCGUUCAAAUUUUUUUUUUGUCGUGUUUUGAAAUCCCGGACCGGCGCAGAAAUGUACAAUGUACUUCCUUUUUCCGGUCUCGUUUGUAUGAAACUUUGAGUAAAAUAUAUAUUUAUCAGUCUGUAUAAAAUAGGAAGGAACGCGCAAUACCAAUUUCAUUUUUAAUAAUUCCUUGAUAUGAAAAAACGUUACCUGAUGAUAGCGUUUCUUUGUUUACAUUGCAUAUGACGUCAUAAUUUAAAUAACGUCCCAACUAAAAUCCCUAACAACAGAACCAAAAUCGGAAACGUUACGGUAUUUUCGUUUCUUUUUUUUAACAAAUACUUAAAAGUUACAAAAAAAUAAUUCAUACAGACUUCGUCCCCAUUUACAGGUAAUGCCUGCCUCAUAUUA